AGGGGCACACGGCCCAUAGGGGACCCAAACCCAAUAGGGGCACACAGCCCAUAGGGCACCCAGACCCCAAUGGGGGCAAAGGGGCCCAUAGGGCACCCAGACCCCAAAGGGGUCAUCAGUACCCCAAUGGGGUCCCAUGGCCCAUAGGGCACCCAGACCCCAAUGAGGGCAAAGGGGCCUCAUAUCCCAUUGGGCACCAAUACCCCAUAGGGCACCCAAACCCAAUGGGGGCACACGGCCCAUAGGGCAUCCAGACCCCAAUGGGGCACACGGCCCAUAGGGCACCCAGACCCCAAUAGGGGCAAAGGGGCCCAUAGGGCACCCAGACCCCAAAGGGGGCAAAGGGGACCAUAGGGCACCCAGACCCCAAAGGGGGCACCCAGACCCCAAUGGGGCACACGGCCCAUAGGGCACCCAGACCCCAAUGGGGGCAAAGGGGCCCAUAGGGAACCCAAAACCCAAAGGGGUCACCAUUACCCCAAUGGGGUCCCAUGGCCCAUUGGGCACCCAGACCCCAAUAGGGGCACACGGCCCAUAGGGGACCCAAAACCCAAAGGGGUCACCAUUACCCCAAUGGGGGCACACGGCCCAUAGGGCACCCAGACCCCAAUGGGGGCAAAGGGGCCCAUAGGCACACAGACCCAAUGGGGGCAAAGGGGCCUCAUAUCCCAUUGGGCACCCAUACCCCAAUGGGGUCACCAUUACCCUAAAUGGGAUCACCACCCCACAGCCCAUAGGGCACCCAGACCCCAAUGGGGCACACGGCCCAUAGGGCACCCAGACCCCAAUGGGGCAAAGGGGCCCAUAGGGCACCCAGACCCCAAUAGGGGCACACGGUCCAUUGGCACCCAGACCCC
ensembl:lncRNA